CAAUGGAGAGCUUGCCUUCAUGGAUAAAUGCAGCAGCAACAUGAAGAGUUGAUAUUGAAGAAAUCGACAACAGCUACUCUCGAAAGAAGGUAGUAAUAUUCUUAUGAUUAACAUUGAGGAAUCAAAAUCAGUCCCAUCAGAUUUUGAAUUAGGUUUUGGAAGCAGAGCUUUCGCUGCAGCUGGUGCCGCUGUUCUCUCCGCCGUCAUUGUUAAUCCUCUCGAUGUCGCCAAGACAAGGUUGCAAGCUCAGGCAGCAAGAGUUCCUUACCAAGGUCUUUCUAUGUGAAUCGGCGCGUUUUGAAUCGAAUACGAUGUUUCCUGACGUGAAAAGCACCAUAGGCACCUGCAGAGAGCAUCAUCUGUGGGAUAGUUUCGCAGGAACGAUCAGAUGUAAA